rnacentral:rRNA from 1 species
GUGGGGAAUCUUAGACAAUGGGGGAAACCCUGAUCUAGCCAUGCCGCGUGAGCGAUGAAGGCCUUAGGGUUGUAAAGCUCUUUCAGCUGGGAAGAUAAUGACGGUACCAGCAGAAGAAGCCCCGGCUAACUCCGUGCCAGCAGCCGCGGUAAUACGGAGGGGGCUAGCGUUGUUCGGAAUUACUGGGCGUAAAGCGCACGUAGGCGGAUUGGAAAGUUGGGGGUGAAAUCCCGGGGCUCAACCCCGGAACUGCCUUCAAAACUCCCAGUCUUGAGGUCGAGAGAGGUGAGUGGAAUUCCGAGUGUAGAGGUGAAAUUCGUAGAUAUUCGGAGGAACACCAGUGGCGAAGGCGGCUCACUGGCUCGAUACUGACGCUGAGGUGCGAAAGCGUGGGGAGCAAACAGGAUUAGAUACCCCAGUAGUCC